GAUGAACGCUGGCGGCGUGCCUAAUACAUGCAAGUCGAGCGAGAAGCUUGGAAAUGACGCUUCGGUUGAUUUUCCAAGCGGACAGCGGCGGACGGGUGAGUAACGCGUAGGCAACCUGCCCCUGACAGAGGGAUAGCCAUUGGAAACGAUGAUUAAAACCUCAUGACACCGUAGUAGCACAUGCUACAUCGGUCAAAGAUUUAUCGGUCAGGGAUGGGCCUGCGUCUGAUUAACUGGUUGGUGAGGUAACGGCUCACCAAGGUGACGAUCAGUAGCCGACCUGAGAGGGUGAUCGGCCACAUUGGAACUGAGACACGGUCCAAACUUCUACGGAAGGCAGCAGUAGGGAAUCUUGCACAAUGGGCGAAAGCCUGAUGCAGCAACGCCGCGUGAAGGAUGAAGGCCUUCGGGUUGUAAAACUUUCUGUUCUAAAGGGAAAGAAA
rnacentral:rRNA from 1 species